AGACCCGAAACCCGGUGAUCUAGCCAUGGGCAGGUUGAAGGUUGGGUAACACUAACUGGAGGACCGAACCGACUAAUGUUGAAAAAUUAGCGGAUGACCUGUGGCUGGGGGUGAAAGGCCAAUCAAACCGGGAGAUAGCUGGUUCUCCCCGAAAGCUAUUUAGGUAGCGCCUCGUGAAUUCAUCUCCGGGGGUAGAGCACUGUUUCGGCUAGGGGGCCAUCCCGGCUUACCAACCCGAUGCAAACUGCGAAUACCGGAGAAUGUUAUCACGGGAGACACACGGCGGGUGCUAACGUCCGUCGUGAAGAGGGAAACAACCCAGACCGCCAGCUAAGGUCCCAAAGUCAUGGUUAAGUGGGAAACGAUGUGGGAAGGCCCAGACAGCCAGGAUGUUGGCUUAGAAGCAGCCAUCAUUUAAAGAAAGCGUAAUAGCUCACUGGUCGAGUCGGCCUGCGCGGAAGAUGUAACGGGGCUAAACCAUGCACCGAAGCUGCGGCAGCGACACUCAGGUGUUGUUGGGUAGGGGAGCGUUCUGUAAGCCUGUGAAGGUGGCCUGUGAGGGUUGCUGGAGGUAUCAGAAGUGCGAAUGCUGACAUAAGUAACGAUAAAGCGGGUGAAAAGCCCGCUCGCCGGAAGACCA
rnacentral:rRNA from 1 species